CCGAUGAUUUAAAAUUGAAAGCUCGCCUCAUUCGCAUGGGGCCUGCUCUAAGGUGGGCCAGCUAAAAGCGACAUUGCAAAUGUGGAAUGUGAGAGUGGUAGGGUUAAAACCUGACUCUGUAAAUUUAUCAAUAUUGAGG
ncrna:Polynucleobacter asymbioticus strain MWH-RechtKolB chromosome, complete genome